rnacentral:lncRNA from 1 species
UAAUACAAAUCUCUUACAAAUAUAUAUAUGAGUUCCAAAUUACAUACAUAUAACUAAAGUCUGAAGUAGCUAUAAAAUAUAAAAGACAAAACACAAAAGAAAGCCAUUUCUUUCACUAGGCUGUUGGACUCAUCAGAGUGCGGAAACAAUUAUGUACUCAAAUUUUAUGGAUCCAUUGGAUCCUCAUAGACUUCCAAGGGUAGGUCCACCUACGGUUCCUCAUUUUCUUCUUCAUCUGGGCGAGGAGUAUAGAAAGAGUGAGUUCCACAUGUUAAGUAAGGAAAAUAAUAUUAAAUUAACAUCAUAAAUUUUUAAAGGUGAAUUAUUUUAACUUAAAAGCUUACCAUUUGGCCAUCUCAUAGACCUAUCUUAUAUUAUGAAAAUAAUUUAUUUAUUAAGAAAACUGUACAUUAAUAUGGACAAUCAAACAUACAUCAUGCCAGAUAAUAGAGAAAAUCAAAUAAAUCAUGAAAUGCUCAUAUUUUUGUGUCAUACUUUGUGAAGUCGUUACAGCUUCCAUCUUUGAAGGCAGAUACAGAUUUCCAACUACCCAAGUAGAAUGACCAGAUCAGAUACAAAGACAAUAAUUACUCAGGCUCAUUUUCGGCUGGCCAAACCAUGGUAUGAUCUACAACCACGGUUAUACCAACCAUAGUGGCCCUAUCAGAUAUCUACAGUCAUGACAGUACUUAGCAAAGCGUGACCCCUCACAGAUAUUCACAUUACCACUCUCGUCAGAGGGUACACCAUCAUCCACUGGGAGAGGUCUUCUUAUGUCUUUACAGACCAGAUGGGGGAGGAGAGGAGAAAAUAGAUACCCUGAAAGGCUAGGGGAAUAGAUACCCUCAGAGAUAAAAAUCCUAACGAGACACUUGGUGCAAUAUCCAUGUUAAUAUAGAUAUACUUUUGACCGUUUAUGCUUCAUUCCACAUUUCUCUUUUCUUUUUUUUGUAUUCCUUAUUUUUACCAGGCAAUAAUAUCUACUACAUAUUCUUUUUAUUACAUGUAAUUCAUGAAGUGUCUAUAAUUCACAUAUCAUACUUGAAAAUAAGAACAACUUGACUUAUUCGAACUAUAAACACAAAGGCAUACAAGCAGGUAAAAUCACAAUCAUCAUAUUUAAUAAUAUUAAUUUAUCUAAAAAUACUCCUUAAGAUGUCGAAAGAAAUACUAAAUUCCUUACCGAAAUUUGAUGUUUUCUCCUUCACCGUUCCUCUUUUCU